GUAGGGCGCAAGCGUUGUCCGGAAUUAUUGGGCGUAAAGAGCUCGUAGGCGGCUUGUCACGUCGGGUGUGAAAGCCCGGGGCUUAACCCCGGGUCUGCAUCCGAUACGGGCAGGCUAGAGUGUGGUAGGGGAGAUCGGAAUUCCUGGUGUAGCGGUGAAAUGCGCAGAUAUCAGGAGGAACACCGGUGGCGAAGGCGGAUCUCUGGGCCAUUACUGACGCUGAGGAGCGAAAGCGUGGGGAGCGAACAGGAUUAGAUACCCUGGUAGUCCACGCCGUAAACGUUGGGAACUAGGUGUUGGCGACAUUCCACGUCGUCGGUGCCGCAGCUAACGCAUUAAGUUCCCCGCCUGGGGAGUACGGCCGCAAGGCUAAA
rnacentral:rRNA from 1 species